rnacentral:rRNA from 1 species
AACGGCGAGUGAAGCGGCAAAAGCUCAAAUUUGAAAUCGGCCACCAGGUCGAGUUGUAAUUUGUAGAUUGUAUCUUGAGAGCGGAUUAAAGUCUGUUGGAACACAGCGCCUUAGAGGGUGACAGCCCCGUAAAAUCUAUUCUCAUUGUAAGAUACUUUCGAAGAGUCGAGUUGUUUGGGAAUGCAGCUCUAAGUGGGAGGUAAAUUCCUUCUAAAGCUAAAUAUUGACGAGAGACCGAUAGCGAACAAGUACUGUGAAGGAAAGAUGAAAAGCACUUUGAAAAGAGAGUGAAAAAGUACGUGAAAUUGUUAAAAGGGAAGGGUAUUGAAUCAGACUUGGUGCUGUUGUUCAACUGUGUUUUGGCACAGUGUACUCAGCAGUACUAGGCCAAGGUGGGGUGUUUGGGAGUGAAAAAGAAGUUGGAACGUAACUCUUCGGAGUGUUAUAGCCUACUUUCAUAGCUCCUCAGGCGCCUCAGGACUGCGCUUCGGCAAGGACCUUGGCAUAAUGAUUCUAUACCGCCCGUCUUGAAACACGGACCAAGGAGUCUAACGUCUAUGCGAGUGUUUGGGUGUAAAACCCGUACGCGUAAUGAAAGUGAACGUAGAUAGGAGCAGUAAUGCGCACUAUCGACCGAUCCUGAUGUUUUCAGAUGGAUUUGAGUAAGAGCAUAGCUGUUGGGACCCGAAAGAUGGUGAACUAUGCCUGAAUAGGGUGAAGCCAGAGGAAACUCUGGUGGAGGCUCGUAGCGGUUCUGACGUGCAAAUCGAUCGUCGAAUUUGGGUAUAGGGGCGAAAGACUAAUCGA